CUGUGCUAGACGGGGAGUUAGCGGUGCCCUGUACCUGCAAUCCGCUAUAGCAGGGUCGAAUGCCUCCUCCGGCAAUGUGCAUGGAAGGCAGUGGCAGUACACGGGAUGUUGAUUCCGAGGUCUUACGCAACGAGUGGCUGCGAACCGUGUCAGGGCAGGAAUGCAGCAGCACUAAACAGAUUCUCUCGUGUGCCGUAAGGUUGCUUCGGAGGAGUUACCGAUGCUGUCGUCGCUUCGGUGUACGUUGACAAGGGAGGCUGCACAG
rnacentral:SRP_RNA from 1 species